rnacentral:lncRNA from 1 species
AAAAAGCUCAUUCCUCCAUGCACCUGACACUUUGGGUCCUGUGACUGCAGCUCCCCAAUCCCUGGCCCCCCAUUCCCCAGCCUCCUUCACAGCAAUGACGCACGUGCAUGUCACAGGCACUAAGAGGACACAUUUCAAAUCUAUGGCCCCAAAACAGCAAGUAUGUGAGGCGCAGUGUGUGAUUGGCUUGAGUUAAUCCUUCUACACUGAAAACAUACGUCAUAGCAUCGCAUUGUGCUCCAUAAAUAUCAUACAAUUAUGAUUUGUUAAUUUAAAAUAAUGUAAAUUAUAAGCAAAACAUAAUUAGAAGCCUAGCGGUAAAGAAAAUCCAGGUCUAAAUGACUUUCAUGAAAAACUGUUCUAAGUGUGUAAAAGAAAUAGGGCUCAACUCACAUCUCAUCUUCCCAGGAUAGGAAAAGAGGAAACGAUUCUCGCCUAAUCUUUUGGGGAGAGAAUAGCAUGGAUGCUGAAACCUGGAGUUCACUACAAGAAAGAAUUAUCAUUUAAUUUUUCCCCAAAAAGUUGUUUUUUGGGGGAAAUUUUCCAAAAUUUCCGAAGAAAUGUAAAAGCUAAUUUUCACAUAGUAUUUACAUAUAG